rnacentral:rRNA from 1 species
UACGAAGGGGGCUAGCGUUGCUCGGAAUGACUGGGCGUAAAGGGCGCGUAGGCGGCUUGCAGAGUCGGACGUGAAAUUCCCGGGCUUAACCUGGGGGCUGCGUUCGAUACCUGUGGGCUGGAGUGAGGAAGAGGGUCGUGGAAUUCCCAGUGUAGAGGUGAAAUUCGUAGAUAUUGGGAAGAACACCAGUGGCGUAGGCGGCGACCUGGUCCUUUACUGACGCUGAGGCGCGAAAGCUAGGGGAGCAAACAGG